UAUCUCUUCUUUGUGGAGUUCUUCCCUAUAAGCCUAGAUCUUCAGAGAUGGGUUUUAAUUGACCAGAGGCCUGCUGAUGGUGUGAGCUCUCCAGAAACCCCCUGUGGUAGCAACAGAGAAAAUUUUGCCAUCUUCUGGUUGCUUUUCCAUUUCGAGUCAUCUUAAGAAGGUCGUGAAAGUCUUAGAAAAUCAGGCGACAAACCACUGACAAGUGAAGAAGGCCCUUUGUUGACGGAUUACUGUGGCUGUGAGUUUCUGUCACUAUGAGGCAGAGUUAAUGCAGAUGACAAAGCAAUCCAAACCUGCACACCACCUUGGGGAGCCUUGGCAAUUUGCAUGGCUAAGCAAAGAUAAGACUGGAUCUGUGCCUCCUAGCUGCUGUUGGGGGAUGUUUCCAUCAGCCCCACUGGAGUCCAGAUUUCAUCCAGGAUGGUUUUGAAGAUCUUUUGACUAAAGCAGACCCAAAGGAAAGGUACAGCAAGAGGCAAUAGCUGCUAGCAGAUGAGUGUGUGGAAUGUGGCCCUGGGCUUACACUGAUGCUUUGCGUUGCCACGAGUGUUUUCAUUAUUUUAUUUGGAAAAAAAAACAAUCAUUGCUGGUUUUAAACUAUAGUGAGAACUGAAAAGUAAAGGUAGCAUUAAUGUAAUGCUAUUCUUUUAUCCAGUAAUUAUCUAAUAGAUCCAAAAAUAGUAAGGAGCUGGAUGUGCUGCUUUGCCAGCAGCAGAGGGACAGGUUCUGCAGAGGCUCUGCCCUCCUUGGUGGCUUCAAGACUCACUGGGGUAUUGCCCUGAGCAGCAUGGGCUGGCCCAGCCUGGGCUGUAUGGAGAAGGUAAUUUGCUAAACACAACUGAAAAACCAUGGAUAUUUUGAAGUCUUGCUCCUGCUUUGCAUAUACCACUUUUUUUUUUUUUUCUCACCUAUACCUGACCUCUAUUGUAAGACCUGAAUGGGGCCAUGAAAAUACGAAGGGAAGACAUUAAACUGUUAUGGUCCAAAAUGAUCUAUUUAUUUUGGUGAGGCUGCCAAGCUGCAAAUUGUGGCCCCAUCUGUGCUGCAGCCCCAGCCAGGCGUCUCAGCUCAUUGGGAUGGGCGUUUAAUGAGAGCUGAAAGGGUGAUUGUGAUGCCAGAGAACUCGCUGGGAAAACAUGGGAGGCUCUCAAAAACUGGGAGAAAUACAAGGUUACAGCGAGGCUUGUGAGCAUCUUGCUCCACCAAUUCCUUAAACACUGUGGGUUUGUGUCUCAAACAGAUGCAAAACAGAGGUGACCCUCCAGUAAGGGUUUGGAGGUGAAAUGUCUGCUCAGAUUGUAGAGGGAAGUUCUUUCCAUCCACUGAAAGUGGCACAAAUGCAGCUUGACACUGGGAGGUAUGACACAGCAGCAACUGGGGAUGUGUUGGUAUCAGAGCAGAGGCAGAGUCCAACAUUUCUGUAGUAGUUUGUGUUUGAAGCAAUAGGGCACAGCAGCCGGUGGAGGGCUGCGAGCAGUCAUUUGGCUGAAGCAAUGAGCCAGAAAAAUGCUCUGCAAAGAGGGAUGGCUGCAAGUGAGGUGACAGGGGAUUUGUGAGGGUCAGAGAGAUGCUUCUGCUGGUCCAAGGCAGAGAUUAAUCAAGAGCAAUACGAGCGUUUUGCAGAGAGGUUAAAAAACAAAACGUUUAGAUCUGCUUCCUGAGGAAAAUGUUAGAAAUGUUGUGCAGGAAAAGGCAUGGAGCUGUUCCUACCUCCAGCAGGACUAAUGAGAGAACCUCUCUCCUCGCAUCUUGGUUAAUACAGCUUCUGGGAAGCUAAGGCAAUAUUAAAUGGCUGUAUGUGUGUAAGAGAUCAUAACUUCAUCUCCCUUUAUUUAUCCUCAUUUAACUCUUUAGGAUGCUUUAAAACUGUAACAGUGUUCUGCGAAUGAUGCAGUACUGAAGAUACAAAAGAUACAACCAAGUACUGCUGAUCAGGGCUGUGAACAACACAGCUGCAUUGAAUAGAUUUGUUUAACUACCUUGAGUCCGAUUAAUACCUAAUUGUUCAUUAGAAAUCAAAUAACUUGUGUUUAAAAUUUAAAAAUAUUUGGGAAUUAAAUAUUAAUGAAACAGAGGCUACUACAGGUGCUCUGUCAAUUUAGAUACUUGGCGUGCCAAUUUGUAUUUCUAUUUAUUGCAAGAAAAUGAAACGACUCAAAGGAGUGAAUGCUUCCUCUAUGUACAAUUCGCCCACAAAGUGAAUCAGUGAGUGGCAUUGGUGUCUGCUGUAUAUAAGAGUUACUAAUACAGCUGAUUGCUGUGUUCCAGGCUGUGUAAUAAAGACAGUUCUUCAUAAUAGUCUCUGCUACAAUAAAGAAGUAUGAUGAAGAAUUUAGGACGCAUUAUUUUUAAUAACGGAAAGGAAGGCAUUUUUUUGCUCCAUACAAAGGCUUUUGUUUCUCUCCUGUCUGUGAAUAUGAGGUCCCUUAGCAGUGCCCACAGUAAUGAGUCUCUGAGUAAUGAAUGGUUGGCAAUAAAGUGAUGAGGCAAACAAGGCGAUGUAAUCUGGUAUUAUCUGAUCACUGAUGGAGGCGGGAGCAG